GAUGAACGCUAGCUACAGGCUUAACACAUGCAAGUCGAGGGGUAACGAGAGGAAAGCUUGCUUUCCUUGUUGACGACCGGCGCACGGGUGAGUAACGCGUAUCCAACCUGCCCCCAACUAGGGAAUAACCUUGCGAAAGUAAGACGAAUACCCUAUAAUGUCCUCAGAUGUCAUCUGACGAGGAAUAAAGAUCUAUCGGUAGUGGCUGGGGAUGCGUCUGAUUAGCUUGUUGGCGGGGUAACGGCCAACCAAGGCAACGAUCAGUAGGGGUUCUGAGAGGAAGGUCCCCCACAUUGGAACUGAGACACGGUCCAAACUCCUACGGGAGGCAGCAGUGAGGAAUAUUGGUCAAUGGGCGGAAGCCUGAACCAGCCAAGUAGCGUGCAGGAUGACGGCCCUAUGGGUUGUAAACUGCUUUUAUACAGGAAUAAAGUUAGCCACGUGUGGUUAUUUGUAGGUACUGUAUGAAUAAGGACCGGCUAAUUCCGUGCCAGCCGCCGCAGUAA
rnacentral:rRNA from 1 species